CGGACGGGUGAGUAACGCGUGGGUAACCUACCCUGUACACACAGAUAACAUACCGAAAGGUAUGCUAAUACGGGAUAAUAUAUUUGAGAGGCAUCUCUUGAAUAUCAAAGGUGAGCCAGUACAGGAUGGACCCGCGUCUGAUUAGCCAGUUGGUAAGGUAACGGCUUACCAAGGCGACGAUCAGUAGCCGACCUGAGAGGGUGAUCGGCCACAUUGGAACUGAGACACGGUCCAA
rnacentral:rRNA from 1 species